UUUUUUUUGUCUUUAUAAUAAAUAAGGCCUGCCCACUGAUUAUUUAAAGGGCCGCAGGAUUUAAACUGUGCGAAGGUAGCAUAAUAAUUAGUUUUUUAAUUAAAAAAUAGAAUGAAUGGUUUUACUGUUAGAAUUUGUUAUUUAUAUAUGUUGUGAAGUUAAAUUAUAAGUGAAAAUGCUUUUAUUUUAUUUUGGGGCGAUAAGACCCCAUAGAUCUUUAUAUUUUUAUGGUAAAUUUAAGUAGGUAAUUAUUUUUAUAGUAGUAAUAUUUGGCUGGGGUGGUGUCAGAGAUUUUUUAACUUCUGAAAUAUUAUUGUAGCCCUAAAUUUUGGAGCAACAAGAUACCUUGGGGAUAACAGCGUUAUAAAAUUGAAGUGUUCUGAUUAAUAAUUUUGUUUGCGACCUCGAUGUUGAAUUAGAAUGUAUUUAUUUAGCAGUUUAAAUAAAUUAAUAGUCUGUUCGACUAUGCCAAUUCUACA
rnacentral:rRNA from 1 species